UGAGGAAUUUUCCGCAAUGGGCGAAAGCCUGACGGAGCGACGCCGUGUGUGCGAUGAAGUCUUUCGGGAUGUAAAGCACUGUCAGUGGGGACGAUAUUGACGGUACCCACAGAGGAAGGCCCGGCUAACUACGUGCCAGCAGCCGCGGUAAUACGUAGGGGCCAAGCGUUGUCCGGAAUUAUUGGGCGUAAAGGGCGCGUAGGCGGUUCCGUAAGUCAGAUGUUAAAUUUAUCCGCUCAACGGGUAACCGCAUCUGAUACUGCGGUUCUAGAGAAUGGUAGAGGAAAGCGGGACUUCCGGUGUAGCGGUGAAAUGCGUAGAUAUCGGAAGGAACACCAGUGGCGAAGGCGGCUUUCUGGGCCAUUUCUGACGCUGAGGCGCGAAAGCUAGGGGAGCAAACGGG
rnacentral:rRNA from 1 species